rnacentral:lncRNA from 1 species
UACAAUCCUCUUGCAGUGUGUGCUCCUUCCACAGAUGAGGAAACUGAAGGCAAGAAGUUGCCAAGUUUAGACAAUUGGACCUGUGUAUUAGUUCAUUCUCAUGCUGCUAUAAAGAACUGCCUGAGAUUGGGUAAUUUAUAAAGAAAGGAGGUUUAAUCGACUCACAGUUCCACAUGGCUGUGGAGGCCUCAGGAAACUUACAAUCAUGGUGGAAGAGGAAGCAAACAAGCCCCUUAUAAGACCAUCAGAUCUUGUGCCAACUCACUCACUACCAUGAGAACAGCGUGGAGAAACCACCCCCGUGAUCUAAUCACCUCCCACAAGGUCCCUCCCCCAACACGUGGGGAUUACAAUUUGUAUCACAAUUCAAGAUGAGAUUUUGAGUGGGGACACAGCCUAAGCAUAUCAGCCUGAAUGCUUCCCACCCCACCACCUUGGUUAUAAAAGGCCUACUUCCUCAGCUGGUCAUUGGCAGCUGAGGGCUCAGUCACAUUUCACAACAGAAGCCUCCUGUCUGGGGUCCCUCUUCCACAGCUUUUUCCUACUGGAUGUCCACCAUGUUUCCUGGCUGUGUAGGAAUCACUGACCUUCCUGGCUGUUUGGAGACUUUCUAGUUUAUGGGUCCUACAUUUGCAAGACAGAAUUCAGAAAACUUUCUUCAGCUUUCUUUACAGCUAUUCACUCCCUCUCAUGACAGCUGGAUUAGAAGUGGGCAACUGGUGGAGGGUGGAUCCAUGAGGAGUUCACUUUGCUAGCAAGAGUGGUGACUGAGACUGCCUGUUCUUGGGAGUGGCAGGGGUUGCAAAGUUAGGCUCCUGGCACAGAAGUGGCUUUGAUGGUGUGGUGGUGGCAGUGGGGUCAAUUUCCUUAUCUGGCCAGUUCUGUGGCAUAGUUUUGAGUGUUUUUUCUAGAAGUUUAGUCUUGAACCUGCUUCUCCCACCCUUCUAAUGAUUUUGUGAGUGAUCUAAUGUCCUUCUGAAAAACUGUUGUUUCCAAAGAAGAUCAUCACCAGAUGUACCCCUUCAAUCUUUCUUCUACAAUGAAGCCAGAACAACCUCUUAGGAACAUAAGUCUGCCCCUGUGCCACCUAACAACCACAAUUUAUUUUCUUUCCAUUGUUCUCAGAAUACCACAUUUUAUAGAACUGAGAGUUCUGUCUUUUGAAAGGCACACCUUAUUUUGUGAACUACCAGGAAAGAAAAUGCUGCUAUGUCACAUCUUUGAUUGUAGCAGGUAUCCUGGUUUCAGAGCUGUUGAAAUGAGGUGGGGUGGGCAGUGUCUUAGAAGUGAGGAAAUGUGGUAACAUCUCACAUCUUUGAUGUGGCCUUCUAAGGCUGGGAAUUGAUGUGACAUGCUCCUCCCUCUCCUCUUGUGCCUCUUUACUCUUUGCCCUCUCACUAACUCUCAAGAGGGUCUUUUCUCCCUCCCUGGAAAGGUUAUGCUUUCUUAUCUGUGCUGUUUCCCUUGCCCACUUCUUAACAUAAUUACUAUUCCUUUCUAAUGCCUUAGCUUAAAUGUCAUUUCCUCAGAGAAGUCCUCCCCGAACCCUCGCAUUCUUCCUUCCUCUAAUAUUAGCACAGUACUUAGCCUUUGUUCAGCAUUUACUAUCUGCUGGGCUCAGUGCUAAGCACGUUACAUAUAUUGCCUCAUUUAAUCCUCACUACAAACUUGC